AAUAGCGGAGGAAAAGAAACCAACAGGGAUUGCCUUAGUAGCGGCGAGUGAAGCGGCAAAAGCUCAAAUUUGAAAUCUGGCACUUUCAGUGUCCGAGUUGUAAUUUGAAGAAGGUAUCUUUGGGUCUGGCUCUUGUCUAUGUUUCUUGGAACAGAACGUCACAGAGGGUGAGAAUCCCGUGCGAUGAGAUGUCCCAGACCUAUGUAAAGUUCCUUCGAAGAGUCGAGUUGUUUGGGAAUGCAGCUCUAAGUGGGUGGUAAAUUCCAUCUAAAGCUAAAUAUUGGCGAGAGACCGAUAGCGAACAAGUACAGUGAUGGAAAGAUGAAAAGAACUUUGAAAAGAGAGUGAAAAAGUACGUGAAAUUGUUGAAAGGGAAGGGCUUGAGAUCAGACUUGGUAUUUUGUAUGUUACUCUCUCGGGGGUGGCCUCUACAGUUUACCGGGCCAGCAUCAGUUUGAGCGGUAGGAUAAGUGCAAAGAAAUGUGGCACUGCUUCGGUAGUGUGUUAUAGUCUUUGUCGAUACUGCCAGCUUAGACUGAGGACUGCGGCUUCGGCCUAGGAUGUUGGCAUAAUGAUCUUAAGUCGCCCGUCUUGAGCAACGGAAACCAG
rnacentral:rRNA from 1 species